AGAGUUUGAUCCUGGCUCAGAACGAACGCUGGCGGCAGGCUUAACACAUGCAAGUCGAGCGCACUCUUCGGAGUGAGCGGCGGACGGGUUAGUAACGCGUGGGAACGUGCCCUUCUCUAAGGAAUAGCCACUGGAAACGGUGAGUAAUACCUUAUACGCCCUUCGGGGGAAAGAUUUAUCGGAGAAGGAUCGGCCCGCGUUAGAUUAGAUAGUUGGUGGGGUAAUGGCCUACCAAGUCUACGAUCUAUAGCUGGUUUUAGAGGAUGAUCAGCAACACUGGGACUGAGACACGGCCCAGACUCCUACGGGAGGCAGCAGUGGGGAAUCUAGGACAAUGGGCGCAAGCCUGAUCCAGCCAUGCCGCGUGAGUGAUGAAGGCCUUAGGGUCGUAAAGCUCUUUCGCCAGAGAUGAUAAUGACAGUAUCUGGUAAAGAAACCCCGGCUAACUCCGUGCCAGCAGCCGCGGUAAUACGGAGGGGGUUAGCGUUGUUCGGAAUUACUGGGCGUAAAGCGCACGUAGGCGGAUCAGAAAGUAUAGGGUGAAAUCCCAGGGCUCAACCCUGGAACUGCCUUGUAAACUCCUGGUCUUGAGUUCGAGAGAGGUGAGUGGAAUUCCGAGUGUAGAGGUGAAAUUCGUAGAUAUUCGGAGGAACACCAGUGGCGAAGGCGGCUCACUGGCUCGAUACUGACGCUGAGGUGCGAAAGUGUGGGGAGCAAACAGGAUUAGAUACCCUGGUAGUCCACACCGUAAACGAUGAAUGCCAGACGUCAGCAAGCAUGCUUGUUGGUGUCACACCUAACGGAUUAAGCAUUCCGCCUGGGGAGUACGGUCGCAAGAUUAAAACUCAAAGGAAUUGACGGG
rnacentral:rRNA from 1 species